rnacentral:rRNA from 1 species
UACGGAGGGUGCAAGCGUUAUCCGGAUUUACUGGGUUUAAAGGGUGCGUAGGCGGGCUUUUAAGUCAGCGGUGAAAUCUCCGGGCUCAACCCGGAAAUUGCCGUUGAUACUAUUAGUCUUGAAUUAAGUUGAGGUGGGCGGAAUAUGUCAUGUAGCGGUGAAAUGCUUAGAUAUGACAUAGAACACCGAUUGCGAAGGCAGCUCGCUAAACUUAUAUUGACGCUGAGGAGCGAAAGUGUGGGGAGCGAACAGG